rnacentral:rRNA from 1 species
GACGAACGCUGGCGGCGUGCUUAACACAUGCAAGUCGAACGAAGUGGCGAACGGGUUAGUAACGCAUAAUCAACCUGCCCUUCAGAGGGGGACAACAGGUGGAAACGACUGCUAAUACCUCCUACUGAAGGAGGGACUUGCGUCGGAUUUGCUAGUUGGAGGAGUAACGGCCUACCAAGUCGAUGAUCAGUAGCCGUGCCUAGUGGAGUAACGGCCACAUUGGUACUGAGGCAAGGCCCAGACUCCUACGGGAGGCAGCAGUGAGGAAUCUUUCGGAAUGGAAGAAAGUCUGACGGAGCAACGCAGCGUGAGUGAUGACGGCCUUCGGGUUGUAAAGCUCUGUUAAUCGGGACGCGGUACCGGAAUAGAAAGCCACGGCUAACUACGUGCCAGCAGCCGCGGUAAUUC